rnacentral:rRNA from 1 species
GAUGAACGCUGGCGGCGUGCCUAAUACAUGCAAGUCGAGCGAACAGACGAGGAGCUUGCUCCUCUGACGUUAGCGGCGGACGGGUGAGUAACACGUGGAUAACCUACCUAUAAGACUGGGAUAACUUCGGGAAACCGGAGCUAAUACCGGAUAAUAUAUUGAACCGCAUGGUGCAAUAGUGAAAGACGGUUUUGCUGUCACUUAUAGACGGAUCCGCGCCUCAUUAGCUAGUUGGUAAGGUAACGGCUUACCAAGGCAGCGAUGCGAAGGCGACCUGAGAGCGAGGUUGGCUAGACGGGAAGUGAGGAACGUCAGAGACACCGGCGGUGGGAAGCAGUAGGGACUCCUACGCGAUGGAGGAAUGCCUAAUGGAGGACCGCCGGGGAAAGGCUGAAGGAGCUAGGAUCGGAGAGCUAUGAAAGUCGGAAAGUUGAAAUGUGUUAGUAACUAUGAUGAUCAUGACGGUACCUAGUGAGAAAGCCCCGGCUAACUACGUG